CGGAGACCGAUAAGCGAACAACUGCAGACGGGAACUUAAGAGAAACCGAAAGGAGAGCCCUCAGGGUGAAAGCGUUUUAAAGAGUAUACGAUAAAAAAUAGCUUUAAAACCCACCAAGGAUGAAGAGAUAGCAUCCAAGGAGCUAAAGAGAAUCUCACUUUAGACACCUGGGGAACUCGAACUAAGAGA
ncrna:unclassified sequences IMES-1 RNA motif